GACGUAGGGCGCGAGCGUUGUCCGGAUUUAUUGGGCGUAAAGAGCUCGUAGGCGGCCAACUAAGUCAGACGUGAAAUCCCUCAGCUUAACUGGGGAACUGCUUCUGAUACUGGAUGGCUUGAGUUUGGGAGAGGGAGUGCGGAAUUCCAGGUGUAGCGGUGAAAUGCGUAGAUAUCUGGAGGAACACCGGUGGCGAAGGCGGCAUCCUGGACCAACACUGACACUGAAAAGCGAAAGCCAGGGGAGCAAACGGG
rnacentral:rRNA from 1 species